rnacentral:rRNA from 1 species
UACGGGGGGGGCAAGCGUUGUUCGGAAUUACUGGGCGUAAAGGGCUCGUAGGUGGCCAACUAAGUCGGACGUGAAAUCCCUCGGCUUAACCGGGGAACUGCGUCCGAUACUGGUUGGCUUGAGUUUGGGAGAGGGAUGCGGAAUUCCAGGUGUAGCGGUGAAAUGCGUAGAUAUUGGGAGGAACACCGGUGGCGAAGGCGGCCCCCUGGACCGGUACUGACGCUGAGGCGCGAAAGCGUGGGUAGCAAACGGG